GAAUAUUGGACAAUGGGCGAAAGCCUGAUCCAGCAAUGCCGCGUGAGUGAUGAAGGCCUUAGGGUUGUAAAGCCCUUUUGUUGGGAAAGAAAAGCUUCCGGCCAAUACCCGGGAGUCAUGACGGUACCCAAAGAAUAAGCACCGGCUAACUUCGUGCCAGCAGCCGCGGUAAUACGAAGGGUGCAAGCGUUACUCGGAAUUACUGGGCGUAAAGCGUGCGUAGGUGGUUCGUUAAGUCUGAUGUGAAAGCCCUGGGCUCAACCUGGGAAUGGCAUUGGAUACUGGCGACCUAGAGUGCGGUAGAGGGGUGUGGAAUUCCCGGUGUAGCAGUGAAAUGCGUAGAUAUCGGGAGGAACAUCUGUGGCGAAGGCGACACCCUGGACCAGCACUGACACUGAGGCACGAAAGCGUGGGGAGCAAAC
rnacentral:rRNA from 1 species